AUGGAAUAACCGGUGGUGUUCCGC
rnacentral:siRNA from 1 species